rnacentral:lncRNA from 1 species
AAGGCAAAGUAUUGGACCAAGUGCCAUAACAAACUCAUUUAACAACGAGAGUGAAGGCAGACAAGACUUCUCCAAUGCAACAAUCAAAAUUGAAAGGUGUAGUUAUGCCUCAACUAGUAGUGUCAGUGUCGGUGUGAUAGCAAGCUCAUUCAACAACAAGGGCAAUGGCAUCCAAAACUUUAGCAAUGCCACAAUCAUAAUCAUCGGCAACUGUUGUGGCUCACUUGGUUUGCAUGGUAUCAUAUUUUACUGCUUAUUCCUUAGAGUUCUUGUUACACUACUGCUUAUCCCAACUAGAGAUCAACAUCUCCAUCUAACAAUACUGGAUUCAACUUGAUCCAAGGUUGAGGUCAAUUCUCCUUCAAGGGGCACUGCACUCGCCAAUAACAUUCAUUUAUGAUCCUCCAUAAUCUUCUCACCUACCAUGUCUAUGUCUUCUACCACCAGAUUCAAUUUUCGCCACAUCUUUGUAUGUUCCUCUUUCACUCACCAUGCUGGUUUAUAUUCAAUUUUUCUAUUUAAAAUAUAUAUGAACAUGCAUGCUCUUGUUUUUGUGCUCAACACCAGAAUCUCCACGUACUAAAGAUCUACAUUGAGUGAAAUAGAAAACAAAAAAAGUAGAAAACUAUAGGAAUGAAGAGUUGAUGCAAUUUUAUUCUUAUAUAAAUUACAUUAGAAAGUUUGCAACAGUUUUAUCCUAACAAAAUAUUUCUCUUAAUUAUGGUCAAUAUAAGACCUGCGAAAGUGUGUUUUUAUCUUAUUGUAUGAUUCUCAACAUUUGUGAGAAUUCCAACUUUAUGUCAAUUUAUGCAUGAUAUAAAUGAAGGACAGAAAAUUCCCAACAUUUGUGAGGAUUCCAACUUUAUGCCAAUUUAUGCAUGAUAUAAAUGAAUGACAAAAGUUGGAGUAAAUAGUUUCAUUAUAUAUGUGGGUCCUGGUUUGAUUAUUGAUAUCUAGAAGAUACUUUCUAAAAUAUCUAACUAGGAAUAUUCAGAAGAUUUUAGUAGUUUUGCUUUAUGAUGAAAGGUGUAUUUUAUAGGUUAUGGAUGUUUUUCUUUUUUACUCUGGGAUGCUAUACAAUACCAUCUAUUCUUUAAAGUUAUUAAGUCUGUACUAUCUUUAAUAAAUUUCAAAUAAGGAGUUAUUCCAUACUCUUUUUCUUCUCUUUAGGAAUAUUCUGUUAGUUUUAUUAGAUUUGUAUAUUAAUGAUUAGUAUAUCAUAAGUGAGGUAAUAUGGAAAAUGCUUUCUCUACCAAAUUGCUAUCUUCAACUAUAACUCUUGACUUUAAUGCAAUGUCGCGAGGUACAUGUAUUGUAGUUUAUCCACCUCUGGAAGGUUCUUAAUACAUAUCUUUUGAGACCUGAUGUUGGGUUUCGGUAAUUGAGUCUGCAAAUGUGCUUAAUCCAUCAAAUUGUGCCCAAAUCCUUCAUAGAUGGUCUUAAACAUUUUGUUUGAUAUAUUUGGGAUUUGUGCUGUGAUUAACUUUAAUUCCUUAUGAUUCAAGAAAAAGUGAUUCUAGUAAUAUGACAUUUUAUAUAAUACGUGCUAAAAUAUUAUUAAAAAAUUCACUGAAAGUAUUGAAAUUUCGUGUACAUGUAUGAAGGCAUUGUCCUGACUAACUAAUGGUUUUAUAUUUGAUGUCUUACAGGAAGUCGAAGUAUUGAACACGGUGUUGUAAACUCAUUCAACAACGAAGGCAAUGGGUUACAGGACUUCAGCAAUUCAACAAUCAUAGUUGGAAGUUGUAGCUGUACCUCAACUUGUGUGGAACUGAAGACUUAUCAAACGGGUUUGAUUAAGAAAAACAUUGAAACUGGAUGAGGCAUGUUAAACCUUUGAGAUGAGGCCAUAAUGUUUUCAAACAGUUAUUGACUGAAGAACCCUUUGGAAAACAAAGUAGCCAUUAGCCAAUAGGGUUGAAGAAAGCUCAAUUUUUGGAAAUCUUUCAAUUAUGCUGAUUGUUGAUUGUGUUUUGGCACUUUAGAUGAACUUGAUAAUUGAGUGGUCCCCCAUAAGCAGGACCAUUUUGUAUUUUGAUUAUUUAAAUGCACAACAAUUUUCUUUCACAUAGUUGGCUCCAAGAGUUGAUUCCACCACUUUUUUUUGUCUUGGCUUAGAGUACUUCUGGUUUCAUUAAUUAAGGUUCAGUGUGGUUCUGUUCUGCCACAAUUCUAUCUUCUCAGUUGUAAUGAGAACCAGAAUGAUGUAUAACUCUAUUCUAUUUGUCUACGCUUCAAAGUUAGGUUUAUUAAGCACUACUUUGUUACAAAGAACUCCUGCUUCAAAUCAGCAGUUAUAUAUAGUUAUAUAUAUUUUUAAAAUUAUCAAAUAAGAAUUUAGAAUGAUAUUUUUUUUUCAUUGUGAGAGUGAAAUCGUAUUUUUAAAAAAAAAUUAUAUAUACAUUGUAACUGGUGUUUAAUUUUCUUAAAAAUAUUAAAUAUAUAAUAUUUUUUAAAUGAAACAAAUCUGCUACUUGAAUUUGUAUUAUUUUAAAAUGGAAUUUAGUUUUACUCUUAAGAAUAUGUUGAUUUAUAACAUUAUAGCAAAAACAUAAUAUAUUAAUAAUAAAAUAAUUAGAGAAGAAACAAAUUAUUUAUUACAAACUAAUUAUAAAAAUCUAAAAUAUUAGACAGUGCACUACAAGAAAAUGAUUAAAUGAUUAAAUGACAACUAAUUUAGAAACAAAUAAAAAAUAGUUUCUAUAGUAACUAAUUUAGAUACCAUUUCAUAAACUAAAAAUUAUUAGUUACUAAAAUGGUAUCUAUUAUUAAUAAAAAUUAUAAUAAAAUUUGAUACUACAUUUUUGUAGCUAAUAAUAAAUAAAAAAGUAAAAUAAAAUUAGAGACCCUUUUUUAGUCUCUUUGUUAAUAUGUAAUUAGAAACCAAUUUUUAAGUCACUUUUAAUCUAUUUUAGAGACUAAUUUUUUUUUAUAAAAAUAAUAAAAUUAAAAACUAAUUUUUUAGUUUCUAAUCAUAUUUUUAGUCACUACUAUUUAAAUUUAGAUACUAAUUUUAGAGUAAUUAAAUUUUAUAAAAUUAAUUAUUUUUUUAAUUUUUUUAAUUUGAGCAAAUUGGUUGCAGGGAGGUAAAAUUAAUCUAUCUUUCUCUGUAGCCUUUUCUUCUCAUCUCUCAAUCUCCACAACACACUCUCCAACCGGCAGCAACGACGCAUCCACGAUGGCGACGCUCUCCGACUGCGACUCACCCGCCACAACAAAGCACCCGCGACUGUAACGCAUCCCGCGACAGCAAUGCACGAAGGCAGCGUGUGACGGCAGCGCAUCCCGUGACAGCAACGCGCAACGGCAGCGCACGACGGCAGCACAUUCCACGACAACAACGCACGACGACAACUGAGUAGUAUGCUUCUCCUUGUCUCAUUUCGUGCUCUAUUCUUACUCUGAUUUUUAUUUUUUGUGCUUGCUCUUCCUUAUAGAUUUUAGGUCAUUGCAGUAGAGUAGGAUGUUUUUCCUUGUCUCAAAUUUAACAAUUAUAUUCCAAUGUGGAGUUUCAACAUUUGAUUUUCAAUCUAUAGACUCUUUGAAUGGUCCUCCUACACAUUUUUAUUACCAUUUCAGAAAUCCAAAACUUGGAAAUUCUUUUUAAUCUUCUCAGAUUGCGUAAAUACUUGAUUUAUAACUUCUCAACUAUCAACUGAUAACACAGUUGAUAGUUUUUUUUAAUCUAUGUAUAGAUUCCUUAUAAGAUAAUAGUGUUAGUUUUAUAUCACUUGAUAGUUUUUUUAAUCUAUGUAUAGAAUCAUUAUAAGAUAAUAGUGUUAGUUUUUUUUUUUUGGAAUAGAGUAUUCCCUGCUGUGUGGUAUAAAAUGCAAAUCAAUCCAUUAACUUAUUCACAAAAGUCUCCAUCACUCUUAAAUUUAUGCAUCUUGAACACAUUAAUAAGAUGUGUUCAAGUUUGUAGCUCAACCUUUGGCACUAGGAGCUUUUAGUUCAAAUUCAAAACCAAAUGUUAAUCAAUCAUUCAAAACACCUAAGUUUGCAGCUCAACUUUUGGCACCAGGAGCUUCUAAUUCAAAUUCAAAACCUAAUGUUGAUCAAUCAUUCAAAACAUCUCAGUUUGCAGCUAAUUCAACAUCAAAUGAAAUUAAUUCAACACCAGAUGAAACUAAUUCUACAUCAAAUGAAACUUUUGCUGCAUCAGAGUCACAUGGCAAUUAUGUCAAGUCAGUUUUAAACCUUGAUGGGCAAGGGUAUGUAUAUCAAUGUAAUCAUUACUCUUAAAACAACCAAAUUAAUAAUAAAUUGUGGAAUUAUGAUAAUUUACAUGUCAUUUUGCAGAUUCUUACCUUCACGCCCUAUAGCUAAUGGGAUUGGAAAUAUCUUCAAAAGUCAUUAUACCGAUCCAUGGCUGUUAGUACGAGAAAUUACACCAGCAGAAGGCCCAAGAAACAACCCAAUUGGAUGCAGGAUUUUAUAUUGGGUUAAGACCCAUGCUUUUAUUAUUCUGCCAUUUUAUUUUAGUAUGUGUUCCUUUUUCAUCUGUUGUUUUAUUUUAAGAGUUUUGUAAGGCCCAUGGCCCUUAAACCCUUAUGUAGGGACUUACCAUUAUGAAUGAAGGCAUAAGUUUUUUGUGAUAACCCUAAUUUUAGUAUAGCAGUAGCAAAGGUCUAUCAUUGGUGCUUUCAUUGUUAUGGCUCCUAAACUCUCAUCCAAGGACAUGGAAGAGGUCAUCCACGCCAUUCAAGCUCAAAUCACCCUCCUCACGCACCCUGACAAUCAAAACCCUUCACCUCCCCCUCAAACCAGUCCUCGAUCAUCUCAUUCUCACCCUCAUCAGCAACUACCCUUUUUUGAAGGAACCCAACCCUUGGACUGGCUCUUUCAAGCAGAGCAAUAUUUUUCAUUCUAUCAAAUUCCUAUGGACCAGCAUUUGGCCAUGGUGGGAUUCCACAUGCAGGGAGAUGCUCUCUCCUGGUUUAAAUGGCUGCACAACAAUAACCUCCUCACAGAUUGGCAUUCUUUCACAAGGGCCUUGGAGCUCUGUUUUGGCCCAUCAACAUAUGUCAAUCACCAAGUUGAGUUAUUUAAACUCCAGCAAACCUCCACAGUCACAAAAUACCAAGGCAGGUUUGAAUGUUUAUGCAACUGUGUGGUGGGUCUCACUCCCAAGACUAUACUUAAUUGUUUCAUUUCUGGUUUGAGUAUUGAUAUUCGCAGGGAGUUCACUAUAUUAAAUCCUUAUUCUAUAGCCCAAGCCAUAGGACUAGCCAAGCUUAUUGAAGACAAACUGAGAGAUUCCAAACCUAAACAACACCGUUAUACCCCAACACCUCACCCCACCACCACUAAUUCUUCGUUCACAAAAAGUAGACCUAAUACCCUUACCCCACCAUCAGCUCCAAUACAGAUUAAACGUCUCUCAUCUUCCCAAAUGCAGGAACGACGUGCCCUAGGUCUUUGCUACAAUUGUGAUGACAAGUUCUUUCGGGGCCAUAAGUGUGCUACAUCUCGUUUUUUGCUUCUUUUGGAUGAUCCUGAUACAGUAAUUGAACCCACCGAGCACCCUAUUCCAUCCUCCGAAUACACCACUCCCCUCCAUUUUCACAUUUCCCCUCAAGCCAUCUCUGGUACCAUUUCCCCAAAAACUCUCAAAUUCACCGGUUUAAUCCACAACCUACCGGUGACAGUUCUUAUUGACUCAGGAAGUUCUCAUAACAUACUUCAACCACGUAUUUCCCACCAUAUACAUCUAGCCAUAUCUCCUAGCCCACCGCUAUCGGUUAUGGUGGGAAAUGGGGCUUUCAUCCAGUGUCAAGGAUUGUGCCCAUCAGUGGAUAUCUCACUACAGAACUCCACCUUUACUAUCCCAUUUUACCUUCUUCCCAUUGAAGGAGCAUAUGUUGUCCUAUGCGUAGAUUGGUUAAGCACACUGGGAUCCAUCUAAGCAGAUUUCUCAAUCCCCAACAUUGCUUUCACACAUAACAACCAACAAAUUACCCUCCAAGCUUCCCCCUCACCCACCCCAGCAGCUACCACUUACCACCAAUUUUGUCACUAUUUAUCUAAUAAUUCAAUUGCAUCCUUCCACCUCCUCUCGGUGGAAAACUAGCCCAGCACACUCACAAUCAGGACCAUUGAUCAACCUUUUUUCCCUUUAGACAAUCUGCCCACGCCCAUUCAAUCACUCCUUCAGAAAUAUCACAGUAUCUUUCACAAACCUCACGGGCUAGCCCCCAAAGGCCACAUGACCACCAUAUACCAUUGUUACCUCACACCUCACCCAUCAAGGUCAAACUCUACCGCUACUCACGCCACCACAAGGAAGUCAUCACUACACUCAUUUCUGAAAUGUUGCAAGAGGGUAUUAUCCAACCCAGUACUAGCCCUUUCUCUUCUCCGGUGCUGUUAAUAAAAAAAAAGGAUGGAACAUGGCGAUUCUGUGUUGACUAUAGAGCCCUAAAUGUAGCCACCAUUCGUGACCACUUUCCUAUUCCCACCAUUGAUGAAUUGCUAGAUGAGUUAGGCUCAGCUACUAUUUUUACUAAAAUAGAUCUCCACUAUGGGUAUCACCAAAUACUUCUUGUUCCAAAGGACACUCACAAAACAGCUUUUCGCACUAUUGAUGGUCAUUACAAAUUCCUGGUUAUACCAUUUGGAUUAACUAACACCCCUUCUACUUUUCAGGCAGCAAUGAAUGAUCUUCUCAAACCAUACCUCCGCCGGUUUGUCUUAGUUUUUUUUAUGACAUUUUAAUUUAUAGUCCUAGCUUGCAGGACCACAUGGUUCAUCUGAAAAUUAUAUUGGAAGUGUUACACACUCAAAUUUUGCCAAGCUUUCCAAAUGCAAUUUCGCAACCGCGGAAGUCAGUUAUCUAGGCCACAUAAUUUCAGCUCAAGGGGUCCAACCAGACCCACAAAAGAUCAGUGUCAUACACAAUUGGCCUCAGCCACGAUCACUCACGACAUUAAGGGGUUUCCUCGGCCUCAUUGGAUUUUACAGAAAAUUUAUAAAGCAUUACGCCACACUCGCUGCUCCUCACACCGACUUAUUACAAAACCACAAAUUUACAUGGACAGUGCCAGCGCAACAAGCAUUUGAAAAAUUGAAAUUACAAAUGACAUUAAUGUCUAUCCUACACCUUCCCAAUUUCAAACUCCCAUUUGUGGUAGAAACUGAUGCAUCCGCAGUGGCUGUAGGAGUUGUCCUUAGUCAAACUGGCCACCCUCUCGCCUUCUUCAACAAAAAGAUGAACCCCAAGUUACAAGCUUCCUCUGUAUACGUCCGGGAGAUGUAUGCCAUCACAGAGUCAGUAAAAAAAUGGGGUCAGUAUCUCAUAGGACAACAUUUCACAAUCAUCACGAAUCAAAAAAGCCUCAACACCCUCAUGGCCCAAACCAUACAAACUCCAGAACAACAAAAAUGGACAGCUAAAUUACAGAGAUAUGAUUUCCAAAUAGUUUACCGACCUGGAAAGGACAAUACGGUGGCAGACACUCUUUCAAGAAUGGAUCAGGAGACCACGCACAUCUUAUUGGCCGUCUCGUCCCCGAUACCUCAGCUGAUCCAAGAACUUCAAUUUUUUUAUGACACUGCAAAAGGCAAAGAGGUGAUCCAAGCUUGCACAGGAACUCAACAGCACCCAAGUCUUUUCUCUACCGGCCACGGGUUGCUUUUCUUCCGCCACCAGAUUUUUGUCCCAGCAGUAAAAGAAUUCCGCAAGCGUAUCAUGACUGAGUUUCAUGCUUCUCCUUUUGGUAGCCAUUCCAGUUUUAAACCGACCCUCAAGCGUAUAGCUGCCUCCUUCUACUGACCGAAAUGGACCAGGGACGUCCAUAGCUUCGUCCAACAAUGCUCGGUGUGCCAGAAAAGCAAAUACAUGCCAACAAAAAUUCAAGGUCUCCUUCAACCAUUGCCAAUUCCAGAACAAGUUUGGGAAGAUAUAUCAAUGAAUUUUAUUACUCACCUUCCAACGUCUGCUGGCCACUCCGUUAUUUGGGUCAUCUACGACAGAUUGACAAAGUAUGCCCACUUCCUAACUCUGCCCACACACUUCACCGCCCAACAGCUAGCUUCACGUUUUUCGGUAGAAAUCUGUCGACUCCAUGGACUACCCAAAACUAUCAUCUCCGACCGUGACCCUUUGUUUGUCAACACCUUCUGGCAACACAUGUUCAAGGCACAAGGAACCACGUUGAAAUUUAGUUCGUCAUAUCACCCACAAACUGACGGCCAAACGGAAGUAUUGAACAGAGGGUUAGAAGCAUACCUCAGGAGUUUUGUAGGAAAUCAACCGAACAAAUGGUAUCAGUUCCUUCACUUAGCAGAGUUGUGGCACAACACCACUUACCAUUCGGCUAUAGGGACAUCACCUUUUCGUGCCCUCUAUGGUAGACAACCACCCACCGCAAUAGAUUUUGUGCGCACUCCACAAGAAGGCACCACCAUCCCUAGUGCGUUAGCAGAUCACUUCGCGGUACUACAGGAGAUAAAAGAGCACUUACGUCAUACAAGGCAGCGAAUGUGUGAUCAAGCGAACCAACACCGCACAGAUUGGAGCUUCGAACCAGGCAAUUGGGUGUGGGUUCACCUCCAACCCUAUCGGCAACGAACGAUGGAACGCCGCACACACCAGAAGCUAGGACCGCGUUUCUCAGGUCCAUACAAGGUACUACGCCGCAUUGGAGCAGUAGCGUAUGAGUUACAACUGCCACCAACCACCCGCGUUCACCCUGUUUUUCAUGUGUCGCUGCUAAGGCCUUUCAAAGGAACUACUGGAGAAACUCCUUCAGUUUCCACCACUUCCACAAGCAACUGCCAAACUACACUUAACUCAAUCUCAAAAUCCAGUCAGAAACUCCUGAACACACCGCCCAAAGAGCCCACUAGCAACAAGACACGUGUCCCACUCACGAAGGUUGUGGAGCCCCAUGGCCACAAGCCCCUCACGCACGUGCCCACUCCACCGUUUACGGCCACACUCACUCACAAGCUUUACACGCCUCUUGGCUCAACCAGUAGGGGCACUACACGUGUAAGUGACCGUUCAGCAGCUCCAACUUUUUCAGACCUUGAGCCCAACGCCAAUAAAGUCUUUCUAGAACCUACCCACCCAAACCCUAAUGCAGUUGCGGCACACUCUGCAAACCCUAGCUUAACCGCAACGCCUCCCCAUCAACCCGCUAUCCAAGCCCAAUUACCUCACGCCCAUCCCAAAGGGACAAACGCACCCGCGACGCCUACAACAAACCCUAGCGUGGUCACAACGCCUCCUAGCCAAUCUUAUACCCAAGCCCAUCUUCGUCUGACCCGAUCCAACACAUCACCAUACUCUUCCGAACCUACAUCACAGCUCAAGGCCCAACAUCAGUUCACACCUCCUGCUAAAUUCCCUAUCUCACCCCCCAACGCCCAAGACACGGCCCAACAGACCCCAAGACUGCACUUUGAGAACAAAGUGCCUCCUGAGGCAGACAGUAAUGUUAGUACGAGAAAUUACACCAGUAGAAGGCCCAAGAAACAGCCUAAUUGGAUGCAGGAUUUUAUAUUGGGUUAAGACCCAUGCUUUUAUUAUUCUGCCAUUUUAUUUUAGUAUGUGCUCCUUUUUCAUCUGUUGUUUUAUUUUAAGAGUUUUGUAAGGCUCAUGGCCCUUAAACCCUUAUAUAGGGACUUACCAUUAUGAAUGAAGGCAGAAGUUUUUUGUGAUAACCCUAAUUUUAGUAUAGCAGUAGCAAAGGUCUAUCAAUGGCCAUCUUGGAAGAAGAUACCAAUUAGAACAAGAGACUUGUGGUUUGGAGAGUUUUUGGUUGAUUUCAUAUAAUUAAAUUUGUUUAAUUAUCUAGUUUAAUUUUAUUAUCUAUCUUAGUCUUACAUAUAACUAACUUUGUUUCUUUAUUAAUGCAGAAGAAGUUUUCGAUUUGUCCACCGGAUCAUAGGUGGGCAAGAAAGAAUUUUGAAAUGUGAGGUGCUAUAAUCAUGAAAAAUAAUCUAAAUAAGGCUCGACAGAGAAAGAUUAAGCCAAACUGGAUUGGAGAUAGUACAUGGGAUAUAUUAUGUCAGUAAUGGGCAUCUGAAGAAUUCCAAAAGAAAAGCACGAUCGGGAAAAUAAAUAAAGUCUCUGGAUGUGGAGGUUUUGGAGGGUCUCGUCACACAUGUGGCUCUAUUAGCACAUCUCAGCAUAAAUAUAAUAUGGUAAUUUGUUUUCUAACUAUUUUAUUUUCUCAAUAUAUUAUAUAUAUAUAUAUAUAUAUAUAAUAUGGGAAAUGUGUGAAUUUUAUUUUUUCAGACAAAGAUGAAUGGAAUUCCUCCCACUAUAUUAGAAUUGUUUUGUCGCACGCACCAACGACGUAAGGACAACUCUUGGGUGGAUCAAAAACUAGAACAAGUAAAUGUAAUGAACUAUUACCUUUUAUUUUAGUUGUUUUGUUAUAUUUUUGGUUUUAUCAUUUUCAAUGUUAAAGUUAUUGUUAGUUUAUUGUUGUUGUGUGUUUAAAUACAUAUCUGUCUAGAAACCACUGCCACUGCCACGAGACCAAUUGUUAUCUCUCUAGAAGUUCCCAUCAUAGCAUAUACAAAUUUAAGUACAAAAACAAAGCAGAAAGAGAACAUGAAUAUUGUUGGUUGAGUCACUGUGAGAGUGUGUGUGUAAUAGAAAGAAAGAUAGAAAGAGAGAGAAAGAUGAUCAACGAAUAACAUCCACCUGCCAUGUUGUCCCUUACUCAAGGAAUUUCCAACUUUAAAACCAAUAAGACUGUGAAAUCAAUUAGUAUGCAGCUACAAGAUCUGAUGUGACUUUGAGAACAGAUAAGACUCUAGAUAGACACAUGAAAAUUUGAUGAUUGUAUUCUAAAAUCACCAAUUGAAUUUUGAGGAAAAAUAUAGCACUGUAAAUAAAAAUUGGAGAGAAAGCAAAAAUAUUGUCAUCCAAGAUGCCAAAAAAGUCUUUAGAAAGUCUGAAGUAAACUUUUGUUUUGCAAAUUUCAGCUUCCUUUUCUCAGAUAUAUGCACUAUGAGCAUUUGAACCUCAUGUUAACAUUCAAAUAAGUAGAUGGAAUCUCCAAUUCUUUUAAGUUGAAGUAGCAAAAUCAAUUCAAUAUACCAGUGACUUUUUACAAGCUUAAAAUUAAACUAUGUGAGAGCAUAAACAAAGUUAUUUUUUGAAACACUGCUUGAGAGUGAGUUUUCUUGCUCUGAGUGCAUUAUCUAACAAUCAAUAGAAAGGUAAUUGCAUGAUAGUACCAUAAAAUCAAAAUCUAAACCCACUACAAGUAGUUUUCUAAUAUUGCUGCAAGUUGGGAAAAAAGUUGUGUUUUUUUUCCACAAACAUCUCUUUCAUGCACCAAUUAGUGAAGUAGGAAACAAUUACUGCACAUUUCAACCUUUUAUUUUAAUAGUUAAGUACGUUGGAGUUUGAAAUUGCAUUUGUAUGGCAUCCACUUUAUUUGAAAGUGAAAACUAGGCAACACUGGCAAUUGCUUCUUUGGUGCCAAAGAGAAAGAGGGAAAUUGCUGGCACACACAUAGAUCCUUACCAAAUCAACCUUAGAGUACAUUGUUAUGGUAGGGAUUGCAUUGAAGCUCAUUUGUUCCAUACAAAAGUUCUGUAUUGUAAGAGUAACUUAAAAUCAAUUUUAGUAUCAACUUUAGAAUGUCUUAGAUAUUCAAUAAUGCAUAACACAAGAAAAACAUUCAAGUACCUAAAUUACAAACAUUUUUAUUUUAUUUUUAUAGAGUUUAAUAACCUGAAAGCAAUGACAACUUAUUAAAAAUCUAAUCUGAUUUUCUUAGAAGGAGAAUGUGUUUGUGUGUGAGAGAGAGAAUAAAAGAAAGAUAGUUCAGUGACUGCAGGAUCUACUCCAACAGCAGCAAAACUCCUGAAAAUAGAAUUCACUUGUGAAAAUAAAAUUGAAUAAGGUUCUAUUAGAAAUCUGAUUUCACUAUCAGUCCAUGUCUGAAUAGGUUUCAAGUAAAUUUAUGUUACUGAUUUCACAUGUCCUUUCAGCAUAUUAUAUUCUUAUAUAUUAAAUGUGAAGUACAUGGCUUCAAGCUUUGAGUAUCCUAUAUUACAACAACUUUUUCAGACAAUUUUACCUAAUAAGUAUCCCUAUUAUAUAUAAUACACACACAUUAUAGGAUAGUUACAGGUCAUUGUUAUUGUUUACCUACACAUUAAUGAAAAUUUUCCAACUAAUUUCUUUUUAAUUACUUCUAAUAGACUGAGAAGCAAUCAUUCAUGAAAUAAUAUCUGUUUGUUUUCUUGAUCAAUAUUAUAUUGGUAUGAAUAUUCUAUUGAUGUUAACAAGCAGAAUUUACACGUAAAUUUGAAGACUUAACACAAAGUGCAUCUGCACAAGGAAUUCCCCCUCCAAAUGAGUUAGAUGUUUGGUGUGAUGUAGCUGGAACCAAGAAUGGGAGGAUAUAUGGUCUUGGAAUGGAAUCUACUGUUAUUGGAGGUAGGCCUUACUACCUUGGCUCAUCUUCUUCCUCAAAUGGGUGGAUACAAAGUCAAUAGCUUGAUGAACUUAAAAGAGAUAUGGAAGUAGUUAAGAAAGAAAGAGAUGAGCUUCGAAUCAAAAUUUUAAAUAUUGAGCAACUUUUUGAGAAAAACAAUGCAAUGAUUCGAUAAUGAAUGGAUAGCAUUAAUCAUCAAUCAAUGCCACCAAGUUUUGAGGAAACUCAAGAUAAGGAUGAAACACAACCACCCAGUCAACCACUCAGUCCUUAUCAAGGUAGUUUUGUUACACUAUUCUAUAUAUAUUUUUAAAUUUCAAUCUUGCUAAUAAAUUUUAUUUUAUAUUUUUUGACAGGUAGAUGAUUAUUGUUAUAGCUAGCAUCAAAAGCUCACAUGGUACACCACUGAGCAUUAGCUCUUCAUGGAAUAAAUUUCACACAAAAAAUGAUAGAUUAAGCUUUUUACUUUUCAAACGCCUUGUUUGAAUCAUUUGUAAUAAUUGGCAGCAGCUAUUAGCUUCUACAUUGCAUAGAAUUACUUCUAACAAUAGAAAUAGUUGUUAUAAGUUGUUAAUGACAGCAUAGUUGGUGCUGCAGAAUUAUAAUAUGUGCCACUCUCAUGUGCUUUGAAGUCCUUUUGUUCUGUUUUUUAUGCAGUUUUAUCCCAGCUAUGCCAAUCUUUUUUGCCUCAUUGAGAGGAACUAAAACCAUAGUUGGUAGAUGGUAGAUAAAGUAAGAGUGGGUAUGAUAGUAGGUGCAGUUGUGUAAUUUUUUUAUCUUAGCUGCAGGUUCGGUGGUGUUGAGGAGGAUGGAAGGAAGCAUAUGAAGUGGAGAUUGAAUAGCUAUUUGAAAAGCUAUUUUCACCAAACCUUGUUAUCUAUAUGAUGUACAUACAAUCUUAAAAUAUGUUAAAUGUAUUCAUUUUUAUACUUGAUAAAUAAAUAAAUAAUAAUAAAAUGAAUAAAUAAUAAUAAUAAAAUAAAUAAAUAAUAAAAUUAUAUUUUAUAUUUUAUAUUUUAUAAUAAAAUUAUAUUUUAUAAUAAAUUAUAUUAUUUAGAGACCAAUAUAGUGACCAAUUUUUGGUAUUUAUAUAUUUGGUCACUAAAUGAGUUUCUAUAUAUUUUGGUCACUAAAUUGGUUUAAAUAAAAUUGGUUGUUAAUUUGGUUUUUAUAUAAUUGGUCACUAAAUUAGUUUCUAUAUAUUUGGUCACUAAAUUAGUUUCUACAUAUUUGGUUACUAAAUUAGUUUCUAAACAUUUGGUCACUAAAUUAGUUUCUAUAUAUUUGGUUACUAAAUUAGUUUUUAUUUAAUGUCACUAAAUUGGUUUUUAAAUUAGAAUCUAAAUUGGUAUCAAAAAUUAGCGACCAUUAGUUUUUAAAUUAGUUUCUAAUCAAGUUAGUGACUAAUUUUAUAUUUUAGAAACCAAAAAUUUAGUUUCUAUAACAACUUUUUCUUAUAGUGGUGGUUUAAAUAUACUAUAAAAGAAAAAGUAGACUAACUUGACCUACCUGAAAAUUUUCAUAAAUAUUUAUUUUUCGAUUUAUUUAUCAUACUAUUUUUUUUUAAUGAAAAUUUUCAUGUUAGGCAUCACUAUGCAACUUGACAUCUCAACUAGGCUGACAUCUCAAGUAACAACAAUCAUCUGCCAUCACAUGAAAAAAGUAUUAUUAAAAAAAGGAAAAAGAAAGAAUAUACAAAAAUAUGGGGGACUAGACCAAAACCCACAUGUUAACAAAAACGAUACAUAGGCAGACUAUACCUAUUCAUAAAGAAUUCUAAGAACAGACUAGAUGGAAGUCUAUUAUACCAAUGAAAUGAUUGUCUAUGAACGAACCCUAAAUUAGCCAACUUAUCAGCACAUGCAUUUCCCUCACGAAAAAUAUGAGUAACCCUAAACCUGAUUGUCCUACAGAAAUUAAGACAAGUAUUCCAUCGAUUACGAAGCAUCCACGGAACAGUAGUCCUAGCAGUAAACAUUUAUCAUACUAUUUUGUUACUUGUAAUAUUUUCUAUUCUAUCAUAAUGGAAUAUAAAGACUUAAAAAUAAAAAAACUAGUCACACUUAAUAAUUAUGAUAGUUUUAUAUAUAUAUAUAUAUAUAUAUAUAUAUAUAUAUAACUAGCUAGUCAGCAAAUUUUUUUUUUAAAAUACUCUCAACAGAUACUAUAGACUUAUCCGAUAAAUCAUGUGUAUAACAAAACAUAAUUUUAUAUAAAAUAAAAAACUUUUCAAAUUAGGUAAUUCAUAAAGUAUUUUUUUUAUUAAACAAAAUUUUUUCAAGAUAGUCCUAGGUUAAUUUUCAUAAAAUAAAAAACUUUUAAAAUUGAGAAGUCCAUAAGUAUUUUUCAAUUAAAAAAUAUAAUUCACAUCCAUAAAAAAAAUAAUCUUUCCGACUAAUAUAAUUUUAACUAAACAAUGAAUUAUAUUGCUCUAGAAAAAAUUCUAACAACUUCUAUUAAACAACUCUAAUCACAUCAAUACAAAUAAUUUAUAUUCUACAUUAACCAAAAAGUAAUGAUCUUAAUAAUAUUUCAAUCUUAGUCGAGCUAAUAACACCCAAUUAAAAUCAAAAUAAAAAAAAAUUAAAUGAAGAUCAAAACAUGAAUUUGAGUAUAUGAAAAAUUUAAAUUAACUUUUUCUAAAUUAAAAUCUGAAAUUCUAUAAUUUUAAACAAUCAAAUUAUUCUAAAGAAAUUUUAAAAUUUAAUUUCUUGUUAAAAGUCUUACCCAAACAACAUAUUUUAUCACAAAACAUUUGAAAUUUUCUAAAAAAAAUAAUUGUGUUUUAAAAAUUUCUCGCCGAAACACACUAUUGAUAGCAAGAAAUGGAAUGUUUUGAAAAUGAAAAUUAAAUUUUCUGUAAGUUUUCUUCAGCGUUAAAAUUCUAUGGUUAGGUACUUUCUUUUUCCGAGUUACAAAACUCUGGAUGGAGUCAUCAUUUGUGACUUUUAUAAUUAAUAACAGUGCUGAAUUACAAGACUAAUUGGGCUGGACUCUAGAACAAGCAGUAUUGUUUUCGGCCCAAUUAGUCUAAAUCCUCGUUUUGCACUUUUAUACCCCCUUCCUUUCACUGUCAAUUUUUCUCAAAUUUGAUGCAAACUAACUUCUGUGAUAUAAUUCUUUUAAUAGAUUGUGAAAAAUAUAUUCUUCAAAGUGGUUUUUCUAAAAAAUACAUUUUAAAAGUAAACGGGCAACGCAAAAAAAAAAAACAGAAAGAAAGAAGUUAACAAAAUCAACGUAAAUAGUAUAGGCCUUUUUUAUGUGUAGAUAAUGAAAUCCAUCCUAAUACCCAAUUCCACAGCCACAACGCUAUGAGCUGUCUUGCUUAAAAAUAAAGGAAAACUGACAAACUCUCUUUGCACCUCCAUAAUUUUUACCUGCAUCUUUAUACUUUUUUUUAAUUCUAAGAAUAUUCUUUUAAACUUUUUUUUAAUUCUAAGAAUAUUCUUUUAAGUAUGGUAGAAAGUGUUGUGCAUUCUUUUUCAUUUUCUAGUGAUGAUGGUUAUUUGAGGUGAUUGAUGGUGAAGGUAAGUUUUGUGAUGUUUUUACUUAUAGAGACGAUGUUUUCGUUUACUUAAUUUUUUUUAAAAAUUUUUAAAGACCACAAAACAAAACAAAAAAUACAUAUCAACAAGGUUUAAAAUGGAGUAAAAUAUUAAAAAAAUAAAUAUUUUUUACAAAUAACGUCGAAUACAACAAAUAUUCUCACCACCAACCGUUGGAUUGUUCCUCCGCAUUCAAAAUUUUCAACUUCUCACACCGUGUACAAUCCCUAAGCCCCUGCUUGGAUUGGGGGUUGGCACUGUAGCCGCAGACGGAUGUGGGGUGCCACCCCCGUUUGGAUCCAGUCAUUGUGGAGGGUGUGGGUGAGGGUGAGUUGAAAGUUGGGCCAAAUGAGAGAGCUUUCAGAAGUGAAGAGAAAGGAGAGGGUGAGGGAGUGAGUGCCACAUAGGAUAAGAGAAAAGUCAUGUGUGCCCUUCACUUGAAUGUAUCUGGCCAUGCAUGAGGAAGUAUUUUGUUUGAAGCUUUUCAGCAAAAGCAUGCAUGCACAUCAGCAACAAGCACAUGAGAUUCCUCACCAUUGUUCAGGAAUCUCUUUGACCAAGUUCAAAGCUCAAUGAAUGCAUGGUAAGUUGGUGAGAGAGUGGAUGAGCGUAAUAAAAGCUUCAGCAGCAAUAUAUAUGUCCUAACCAACCUCACAAAGUAGAGACAAUUCACUUGUUCACAAAGCACAAACCUAGAGAGCUUGGAGGGUCGUGAGUAAGGAUAGUGGUAGGAGAGUGCGGUUGGUUCUCGGUUUGUGACCUGAGGUGGGUUUCUGUGAAUUUAGUUUCGUUCUUAACCGAUUAUGAGUGAAAAUGAACGUCUGCUAUAAUCGAUUAUGUGGAAAAAAAUAGUUGAUAAUGGAUUAUGCUCACGACAUAAUCGAUUAUCUGUAAAAAAAAAAAUUGGUGGGAUAAUCGGUUAUGAUGUUUUUUGAACUUGAAGCAUAAUCGUUUAUGUGGUAUAAAUCUGUGAAUAAUCGAUUAUGUGGUAAUUUACACUGAGGUGAUAAUCGAUUAUGUUUCUUAAUUUUCCAGAUUUUUGGAUUUCUAUUUUUUGAACUAAUUUUUUAAUGAUUUUUUUUUUCAGGCACACUUUGAUAAAUCUCAGUUGCAUUGUGUUGUGGUUUUGUUCUGCUUUCUUGAGGUAUGUGUGUUUUUUUUUAAAUUGUGUUUGGAUGUUUAGUUUUAUUUUGAAUUUAAUUUGUUUUAAUUAUUUUAAAGUACUUGUUAAUUAGUUUAUAAUUUUAGAUGUGAAUGUUUAGGAAAAUUGAUUAUCUAAAAUUGUAUAUUAUUAAUGUAAAAUUUUCAUAAAAUUUGAAUAUGUUAUUUUUGUGAUAUAAAUUGAAUUUAUUAUAGAUUGAAAUUAGAGAUCUAUUAUUUUAAAAUGCCUUUAUUAAAAAGAUUAUAAAAAUUGUUGGAGUAAUUUAAAAACGGAAAAACUAAAUAUACAGAAGAUUUUUUUAACAUUUAACAAUGUUAAUAAAUAAACUUAUGAAUGUAUACAUAGUAAUUUUAUUUUUUUAACUUUGAAGCUGUUAAUAAAUAAAUUUUUUAUUUAAAUUUACAUAAUAGAUUAUUUUUUAGAAAUUAUUAUUUUUAGAGAAUGUAAAUAUAACUUUUUAAUGAUUUUUUAAAACAAAUAUUGUAUUAAUAAAAAAAACAGAAAAAGAUUACAUAAUAAAUUAGAAUUUGUAAUAAUAUGUGUACAUAGUUAUUAUUUUUUGAACAUUUAAUUCUUUAUAAAAAAAUAUAUUUAUUUAUUUGAAAUGAUUAUUUUUACUUAAUGGAAAUAGAAACUUUGAAUGCUAUAUUUUAUAAUUUUGGACAUUUUACAUACACAUACCAUAAAAUACAUAUAAUUUAUUUGUCAUAGUUUACAUAAAUUUUUAAUGUUAUUAUGAAACAAUUAAAACAAAUAUUAUAGUAAUUAAAAAGAACAGAAAAAAAUUACAUAAUAAAUUCAAUUUUUUAAUAAUAUAUGUAGAUAUUUAAUAUUUUUUUAACAUUUAAUGCUUUAUAAAAAAACAUUUAUUUAUUUAAAAUUAUUAUUUUUACAGAAUGUAAAUAUAAUUUUUUAAUUUUAUUUUUUAAAACAAAUAUUGUAUUAAUUAAAAAAACAGAAAAAGAUUACAUAAUAAAUUAGAAUUUGUAAUAAUAUGUGUACAUAGUUACUAUUUUUUGAACAUUUAAUUCUUUAUAAAAAAAUAUAUUUAUUUAUUUGAAAUAAUUAUUUUUACAGAAAUAGAAAUUUUGAAUGCUAUGUCAAAUGUAAUAAAUUUAAUAAUAUUAAAAUUAUCUCUCUCAUCAAAUGUAAUGAAUUUAAUAAUAUUAAAAUUAUCAACAAACAAAAAUUUAACUAAUACAAAUUUAUUUAAUUAAUAAAAUUAAAAAUUAAAAAAUCAUAUUUCAUUUCUAUAUUCUAUUUUUUAAUUAAUUUCAAUUUUAUAUUAUUUUUUAAGUUAUAAUUGAAACUUACAAUUAUUUUAAUUAUCAAAAUUAAAUUAGUAAUCAUUUUAUUUUUAUUUUUUUACACACAUGACAAAAGUGUACUUUAUUAUUAUAUAUAACAUAAUAUAAUAGAAAUUAAAUAAUAUAAUACUAAUUAUUUUAAUUAACUUAAAUUUUCUUUAAAUUAAUUAAUAUUUCAUUUUUUAUUUAUUUAUAUAAGGGUAAUUUUGUAAUCUUACCAUUUAUACUAUUCAAAAUAGAUUAAAAUACUCUCACAACUAUCACAUCAUUCGCAUUUUCCAAUAAACUUUCUUCACACACAUCUCUCAAUCCAAACACCAUCAACUUUCUCCACACUUUCUUCACACUUCCACUUACUCACACCCUUAACUUUCCACUCACCCACAACCCCUAAUCCAAACAAAGCAUAAAUUUCUCCUGGUGAUGCUUCUUAUUUGCUUUCAGUGAUGCAUGAGGGAGAGAGGAAGUAGAAAGGGAAAGUUAGAUGGAUUUUAGUGCUUCCCAAGAGAAAGUUAAAGGGAAGAAGAGAAAGUCAAGUAGAUUUCUCUAAAUUACAUUUUUACCCUUAAUAUAUAUAAUAAAAAAUAAUUAAAAUUAUUUAAUUUUUUUAAUAUUUUUAAAUAAACUGUACAUAGCCAAAUAAAUAAUAAUAAUAAUAAUGUAAAGUCUUAUUAAUACUAAUAAUAUAAAUAUUAAAAUAAUAAUAAUAUUUAAAAUUAAUUUAUAAAAUAAUAAUAAUAAAUGAAAAUCAAAUAAUUUUAAUAAAGAAUAAUAAUAAUAUUAUUAAUUAUUUUUAUUUUAUUUUAUUUUAUUUAUAUUAAAUAUUAAAAAUUUUAUUAAUAAUAAAAUAUAUAUAUAUAUAUAUAAUUAUUUAUAAAAAAAUAAAUUUAUAUAAUAAUAAAUAAUAUUAAUCAUCUAAAAUACUUAAUUAAUUUUUUAUAUAUUAAAUGAAUUUAUAAUUUUUUUAUUUUUUCAAUCACACUCAUCAUGUUAUUUAUAAAUUUUUUAUGAAAAAAAUAUAAAGAACUUGUAUUUUUUAUAUUUCAUAUUUUAUUAUUUAAAUAUUUUAAAAAUAAGGAUAAAUUUGUAAAUUUACAUUUUUACACAUUAAAAAAAAUAACAUUUUAUCACAACCAUCUCAUCCAUCCAUAAACUUCAACAAACUUUUCUCAUACAUUCACUCUAAUAUACCUCAAUCUAAACAUUCUCAACUUUCUUCACACUUUCUUCAAACUUUCACUCUCCACACCCUCAACUUUCCACUCCCCCACCCCCUAUAAUUCAAACAAAACCUUAGAGUCCAACUUUCUCCAAAAUUUUCAAAUGUUACGUGAGUUACAAAACUGCCUCCUCACGUCACCGUACUGGACAGUUACGAAAACUGCUCUUGCGACGUCAGCCUGAUCACGUUUGCGGCGUCAAAAUGUGUAAUAGUCACAGUGGGUCAGAGAACAUAAUCAUACUUGGAAUGGAAUCUUCUUUAGAAUGGAAUAGUUUUUAAUUUGACCACGUGGCUUACAUCACAAAUAGUACCUACCAACUUGAAAUUUAAAUUAAAACAUUUGUUUUCUUAAGUAUGAUUUUUCUAGAACCGGUCUUACAUUUUCUUUUCUUUUUUCAGAUUGAAUAGAUUAUUAUCGAACCGAACAACUAUUUUUAAGAUUACUCAGAUAAAUAAGUUGUCUGAUGUUGAUACAAUUUUAUCUUAAAAGAAGUUUAUUAUUUGAUACAAUUUUAUCGUAAAUUGUUUUUAUUAUUUUGAUAUAAUUUUAAAAUUAUGAAAGUAAAGUCGUGGUAUAUUAGACUAUUUUAGUAUAACAUUAAUUAUUUUAUUUUAAAUAAAGUUAAAAUUAAAUUACAUUAAAAAAAAUUUGUAGUAGUAAUUAAAGUUGUAUAGAUUAUGUCAAAUUGAUAUAAUUUUAUUUAAAAAUAUUAAUUAACAUUAAUUAAAGUUAUUUUAAGAUUAGUUUAAUACUAAAAUCACGUUAAUACUAUAUUACUUUAUUUUAUUUUUAAAUCAAAGUUUUCUGAAGGUAAUAUAACAUUUUUACUAUGAAGUGAACAUAGUGGUCCAGAUCCACAAAGUUUUACCUUGUAACAUACUCAUAAUAAUAUACAUUGAUUGCAUGUAAUGUGACAAAAUACUAUCAUCAAAAGAAUUACAAAACUUACAAAAUUAAAAGAAGUAUUUAAAAAAAAUGAUGAUAUGGAUUACGAAAUUCAAAAUCAUUUAUUCAAAAGGGUUUGUGUGCACUCAUUUUUAGGGUUUAGGAUUUCCUUUUGCAGGGUUGUCAUUUUGAACACCACCACAAACCCAUCUUAGUUAAAUAUAAGUUAUAUAUAGUCAAUUCUACUCCAAGCAAAUUUAACCAACCAUAUUUUAGGGUGUUCCUUGUUUAAACGGUCUUAUCAAGAAGGUAAAACCCUAUACAAGGGCUACCACUUAUGUAAACAUGUGAGUUUUGUGUUGUUUUUAGGAAAGAUGUUGCAUGAGGUGUGUGUAAAUUGACCUAUAGAAAUAAGAGGUGACCUAUAGAUUCUGCAUACUGAUCAAAUUUUUGAAAAUAUGAGGUUAUUGUUGUUCUUCGGUAGGGUGAUGCAUGAGGUGUAUGUAAAGUGACAUCAGUGGAGGAAACCGAGGAAAAAUUCUCUAAUCUCAGUAUCAAUGUAGGUAGUCACAGUAAGUGGUGACUUGUUAUCAACUCUCUGCACAAUGAACAAAUUCCCAACAUUUUGAGCUUAUUGUUGUUGUUUGGUGGGGUGGUGCAUGAGGUAUGUGUGAAGUGACCCCAGUGGAGGACACCAAGGUGAAUUUCUCUAAUGUCAUUGUUAUCGGUGUACAAUUAUCACGGUGGACCAGUCGAACAUGUAGUUGUGUACAAUAUUUAUAAUUUAUGUUCUAGGUUUGAUAAUUUUAUUUGUUAGUGGGUCUAUGUUACAUUGUUCAAAAUGUUUAAAGUAAUCAAUUUUUCAUUUUUCAUGUGAUAAAUAAAUUUCACAUGUGAUAAACAAACUUUGUUCACCUUAUUUAUCAUCCUCUCUGAACACUGUGCAAAAACUUACACAGGUCACAACAUCCUAAAUCAUUUUUGUGAAUGACCAACACAUUAACAUCAGUCAUACUCAAGUCCAAUUGGUCACUAGUUCAAUAAAUAAAAUCAUUCAUACUAAAAUUAAUCACAAUCUGCAUUUAAGCAUACAAAAAAAUAUUUUGAAUAAAAUUAUAACAAUAUUAUCAAAAGAGUUCAAUUCAAAAGUAUACUUACGAUAAAUAUUUAUUUUAUUUAAUGACAUAUUUAAUUAGACUAAUUUGAGAUUGUAAGAAUAUGAAGAUAGAUAAAUAAAUAACACUUGUUAAAUUGAAAGAAUAUUAUUAUUAAUAUUCACAUUAUUAUUAGUAUUAUAAUUAUUACUAAUUAUGAUUAUUAUUAUUAUUAUUAUUAUUAUUAUUAUUAUUACUAUUAAUAAUAAGAAGAAAUCAAAAUAAAACACAAACUUAAGCUAGAAGAAAAAACAAACCACUUCAUAAAAAUAAAUUUUACAACUAUUGAAAAAAAAAAUCUGACAAAAGAAAAAAAAAUCUAAAAUAAAAAUUGCAAACAAAGAAUUAUAAAAAAAAGACGUAAAUCUUAAAAUAAUAAUAUAUUUUGCCAGAUCAUUACGAGUUGUAUACCGGCGGUGCAUAUAUAAUAUGAUUGUCCAUAUAUUCUUAUCAUAUUUACAUUCUCUUUCUUCCAUUUAGGUAGGCUUUGACCGGUUUCAGGUUUUCAUAGUAUAUUAUAUCCAUUGGUUCACUUGUCCCUGUUUAAUCAUUCCUCAAUCCCCAUAUCUACUUUCUUAUCUUUUCUAAUCUACUUCCUUCUCUCACCACAAAUUCUCACCUCAGUCCAAACAGAGUAUAAAUGCGUGAAAGAAGAUUUAGAAAGUAUAAAUCUCAAAAUCGCGUUCCCUUUUCUAUCAAAAAGCUCUCUUCUUCUGUUAAUUUUUCAGUUUUUGAUAUAUGUCAAACCAGCGGAUGUAAAGUGGUGAAUUCAUUCAACAAUCAGGGCAAAGGCACUCAGGACUUCACUGAUGCCAAAAUCAUACUUAUUGGAGGCUGUUGCUGUUGCUGUACCUCGUUUGUUUUUUCUUUCUUUCUUAGUUUGUUUCUUUUUUUUCUGUUUUUGGUCUUUCUCGGGUACUGGUUCUCCCAAUCAGACGUCGACGAAUUCCUCUUCACUUCUAAAUCACCAGACGCCAACAAGGGUUUUAGAUUCUCCAUAAUCAUUUACCAUUGUUGACGACAAAGACAUUAAUGGAAGCUUCUUCCACCACCGGAUCCAAUUCUGAUGACGUCUUUGUAUCUUCUCCUUUUGGGUGUCAACUAUUUUUCCAAUUAAAGUUUUGAUUGCACUCUCCUCAGACUAUGUGGAGCUUUUAUGUGCCAAUUGAAGUUUGAUCCACAAGUAACCAGGAAUUCAGUUGUUAAUGCUAACUACAUCAAGUUAUUUACCUGUAAGUACUUUCUUUCACCUUAGACUCUUUAAUCUCUUAUCUUGAUAAAGUUAUCUUUCUUGUGAGACUAUUUUAGUGUACCAGAAUCGUAACCAAGUAGCUAGAGGGCCUACAGUUCUUGUUUAUGGGCUAUUCUCUGUUUUAAUAUAUACUUGAAAACCAGUUAUGUAUUUCGGCAUUAUGCUUGAGUGGUUUGGGAUGUGAUAUGGUUGUUUCCUUAUGAUUUUUUUCCCCAUUCCCGUGGUAAUGGUCAAGAUAGUUCUGUUUUCCCCUGUAUUUGCUGUUUUCCCCUGUAUUUUUAAGUAUUGUGAAUUUCGACAAGGGAAAACAAAACUGUCUCGUGGCAGCACAAGAUGAAUCUAAAAAUUUAAUUUUGCUUUAAAUAAAAUUUAUUCUUAAAUACCUCGUGAUGCAGAAAAUGAAUGGACUUAGUUUCUAGAUGUGUUCACGUUUAACAUCAAAAUAUUCACAGAUAGCUUUGAGAUCUAUUUUUUCCUAAUUUAAUACUUUAUCUCACCUGAUUUUGUUACUCUAAAUGGUUAAAAUAUGAUAAAUUGGUAAUAUAUUUUAAAAAUGUUUUUAGUGAUUGUUCCAACUAAGAAAUGUGAGGGCCUUCAUUCAUUUAUUUAUUUAUUUUGGUUUUGAAAGUCGUAUUUAUGACUUUUUUUACUUUGUAAUUCCUUUGCUAAAGGUUUAAGAUCCUGAUUUUUUUUCUAUAUUAUUUUCCAUGUCUAUUGAUUUAUUUUUUCUAUUAUUUUGUUGGUUUUAUUAAUUUUAUCUUAAUUUAAUGAUAUAGGAUCAUGAUUCUUGAAUUAGGGUUUAUUGAUUUACUUUUAAAUUUGUUUCCAUAUUAUUAUUUAACAUAUUUAUCACUACUUGAUUAGGAUAGAACUUGAUCCACCAAAUAUUUUCAUUCUGUAAUACAUUGUCAUGAUAGAUUGGAUUCCUACUUAUAAGUACAGAGUCUUCUAGUCUUAAACCAGAAGAUUAUUAGGAUUGAUCAGAACUUUAAUACAAUAAUAUAAAAAAAAAUAUUAUUUUUAGCAUUUUUGAAUUCCCUCUAUAUGUUCAUGUAUUGUCUGCAUCAAGUACUCACUUACUAAUUGUUUUAUAUUUUAAAUUUGAUGUUUCAGGAAGCCAAAGUAUUGGACCAAGUGCCAUAACAAACUCAUUCAACAACGAGAGUGAAGGCACACGAGAUUUCUUCAAUGCAAGAAUCAAAAUUGAAAGGUGUAGCUGUGCCUCAGCUAGUAGAGUCAGAGUCAGACUGAUAGCAAACUAAUUCAACAACAAGGGCAAUGGCAUUCAGAACUUUAGCAAUGCCACAAUCAUAAUCAUGGCCAACUGUUGUGGCUCACUUGGUUUGCAGGGUAUCAUAUUUUACUGCGUCUUCCUUAGAGUUCUUGUUGCAGUACUGCUUAUCCCAACUAGGGAUCAACAUCUCCAUCUAAGAAUAUUGGAUUCAACUCGAUCCAAGGUCUGUCAAUUCUCCUUCAAGGGGGCACUCCACUCGCCAAUAACAUUCAUUUAUGAUUCUCCAUAAUCUUCUCACCUACCAUGUCUAUGUCUUCUACCACCAGAUCCAAUUUUCGUCACAGCUUUGUAUGUUCCUCUUUCACUCAACCUGUUCAUUUGUAUUAAAAUUUUCUAUUUAAAAUAUAUAUGAACAUGCAUGCUCUUGUUCUUGUGCUCAACACUAGAGUUAAAAAUAUUCCAAGAGAAUCUCCAAGUACUAAAGAUCUACAUUGAGGAAUAUAAAAAGGAAGAAAAGUAUUAAACUAAGAAUGAAGAGUUGAUGCAAUUUUAUUCGUAUAUAAAUUACAUUAGAAAGUUUGCGACAGUUUUAUCCUAACAAAAUAUUUCUCUUACUUAUUGUCAAUAUAUAAGACCUGAGGUAACUAAACUAAAAGUGUGCUUUUAUCUUAUUGUAUGAUUCUCAACAUUUGUGAGAAUUCCAACUUUAUGUCAAUUUAUGCAUGAAUGAAGGACAAAAUUCCCAACAUUUGUGAGGAUUCCAACCGUAGGGAUAUCGUGUGCGGAAGCGUAAUAAUUUCAACCAAAGAUUAUGAGAAAUUAAAGUAACAAGUAAGUGAUAAUGAUACCAGAAUUUUUAGGUGGAAAACCCCUUUAAAUAGAGGUAAAAAACCACCGACGAGAGAGCCAAAAUUUCCACUAUAAUGGUACUGGAAGUACAAUGAAUUCCUCUCAAGCUAAUGAUAAAUAGUCCCAAAACAAAAUUCUCACUAUAUGGGUUAAACACUUACACCCAAGAGCAGAAAUAGAGAGCAUAAGGAAAAGAGAGAGGAAGCAAGUGUGUGUUGUUGUUUGCUGUGUGUUACAUUGCUUAAAGGAAGCCACUAUAUAUAGUGAUUCUAGGAGACAACAAUAAUAAAUACAAUUAAUGGUAAUUAACUUCCCAUUGAUUGCACUUGAUUGUGACAAUUAACCUCCCAUUAAUUGCAAUUGAUUGCGGCAAUUAACCUCCCUUUAAUAACAAUUAAUUGUCAACGGUAAGUAACCUCUCAUUUAUGCCAAGAUAACGGUAAAGGUGAGUCAUAACCCACAAAUCUCCACCUUGACUUGCCUUUGACUGGAACACUCUUUCGCCAUGAAGUCUUGAUUAAGUAUGGAUAAUACUAGCUAAGUUCAGGCAAUGAUCGAACUUAGCCGAUGGAAGUGGCUUGGUCAACAUGUCUGCAAGAUUUUCUGUCGUAUGAAUUUUUUCAACAAUUAUAUCUCCUGUAUCAACAAUGUCUCGGAUAAAAUGGUGUUUAAUUACAAUGUGCUUGGUCCUUGAGUGAUACUUACUUUUCCUGGUCAAGUGGACAACACUCUGACUAUCACAAAAUAUAACAAGAACAUCUUGUUGAAGACCAAGUUCACUUACCAAGCCUCGAAGCCAUAUAGCCUUUUUCAUACCUUCUGUAGCAGCAAUAUAUUCUGCUUCAGUGGUGGACAAAACCGCAAUGGCUUGAAGUGAAGAAUACCAGCUGAUAGCAGACCCACAUAGGGUAAAGAUGUAAGCUGAAAGUGACCUUCUCCGAUCUAAAUCACCACCAUAGUCAGCAUCAACAUAGCCAACUGCUCCCCCGGGAUCGGCUCUAUGUUGAUCAAAUACCAAACCAAGAUCUGGAGAACCUUUCAGAUAACGAAGUAUCCAUUUAACGGCUUCCCAGUGUGCCUUGCCUGGAUUAUGCAUGAACCUGGUAACAAUGCUAACAGCAUAAGCUAAAUCAGGUCUAGUACAUACCAUUGCAUACAUGAGACUUCCAAUUGGAUUUGAAUACGGGACAUGUGACAUGCGUCUUUUGUCCUCGUCUGAUUUUGGACAUUGAUCUGAUGACAACUUGAAGUGGGCGGCAAUUGGAGUAUUAACAACUUUGCAAUCUCGCAUUCCAAAUUUGUCAAGCAUCUUAAGAACAUACUUCUUUUGUGAUAGAAAAAGUUUUCCAACUUGACGAUCUCUGUUGAUCUCCAUUCCCAAAAUUUUCUUGGCAGGACCUAAGUCCUUCAUAUCAAAUUCACUGCUAAGUUGGGCCUUUAACUUGUUAACUAAAAAUUUAUCUCUUGCAGCAAUCAACAUGUCAUCAACAUAUAACAACAAGUAUAUAAAUGACCCAUCAUAUGUCUUUUGAAAAUAGACACAAUUAUCAUAGCUACUUCUGGAGUAGCCAUGUCCAACCAUGAAAGAAUCAAACCUCUUAUACCAUUGUCUUGGUGAUUGCUUCAAGCCGUAGAGAGAUUUCUUCAGACGACAUACAUGGUCCUCCUUUCCAGGAACAACGAAGCCCUCAGGCUGCUGGAUGUAAAUCUCUUCCUCAAGAUUACCAUGAAGAAAAGCAGUUUUCACAUCUAACUGUUCCAGUUCCAAAUCAUACAAGGNNNNNNNNNNNNNNNNNNNNNNNNNNNNNNNNNNNNNNNNNNNNNNNNNNNNNNNNNNNNNNNNNNNNNNNNNNNNNNNNNNNNNNNNNNNNNNNNNNNNNNNNNNNNNNNNNNNNNNNNNNNNNNNNNNNNNNNNNNNNNNNNNNNNNNNNNNNNNGAUCCACUUGCAACUAAUGACUCGUUUUCCUUCUGGUAACUUCACCAAUUCCCAUGUUUCGUUUUUUAGAAGACUCUCAACUUCUUCUUGCAUAGCAGCAAUCCACUUUGUUGAGUCAUCACCAGAGAUAACUUCAGAGUAAUUCUUGGGUUCACCUUCUUCACCCAUCUCUUGUGCAAUAGUUAAAGCAUAAGCAAUGUUGGCAGAUUCUGCAAUUAAUCUUUGAGUCGGUUUUCUUGGUCUCUGUUGUGGAAGUUCUUGAGCCAUAAACCACGAUUGUGGUAAUCCUCGUCGUUUAGGUGGACAUUGCUCAUUUGGACUCAAAUGUUCACUUGUACCAUCAAUAGUAGUGACUUGACCAUCUUGAGUACUGGAGGAAUUGGAAACGUCUUCCUCAUGAGCGGGUGUUUUAAUCUCAAACUCCACCUUCUCUCGAGCAUCUUCCUGGUCACCUAUAUCAAUUGAGGAAAUGACAGUAUCUUUUACAGAAGAGAGCAUAGCAUUUUCAUUAAAGGUCACAUUCCGACUGUGAAUUAUUUUGUGAGAUUCUGGGUCAUAUAAACGAUAGCCUUUAACCCCUAAGCCAUAACCCAAGAAAAUGCACUUCUUAGCACGAGGUUCUAAUUUUCCAUCGUUUACAUGAGAAUAAGCAGGGCAACCAAAUAUUUUAAGCUUAGAAUAAUCAACAGGGUUACCUGACCAAACUUCUUCUGGAAUGUUGCAAUCAAUUGAUCUGUUAGGAGAGCGGUUUAUCAGAUAACAUGUCGUUGAAGCCGCUUCAGCCCAAAAAGAUUUGCUCAAACCAGAAUGGGAGAACAUGCAACGAACUCUCUCCAGGAUAGUUCUAUUCAUUCUUUCUGCAACCCUGUUCUGAUGUGGAGUACUUGGGAUGGUGAAGAGUCUGGAAAUGCCUUCCUUCUUGCAGAAAUCAUUGAAUUCAUUCGAACAGAACUCAAGGCCAUUGUCUGUCCUUAACCUCUUUAUCUUCUUGCCAGUCUGAUUCUCAAUCAAUAAUUUCCACUCUUUAAAAGUGGAAAAUGCUUCAUUCUUAUGUUUGAGAAAAUACACCCACAGUUUUCGUGAGAAGUCAUCAAUAAUUGUCAUCAUAUAACGACAUUUACCUCUGGAGGGAACUUUUGACAGACCCCAAAGAUCCGAAUGAAUAUAAUCCAAAGUACCUUUGGUUCUGUGUAUGGCUUUAGAAAAACUAACAUUUUUCUGCUUACCAAAAAUGCAAUGUUCACAAAAAUCAACCUUUCCAGUACAGUGGUUAUCAAGGUGACCCUUCUUCUUGAGGAUUAGAAUUCCCUUCUCACUCAUGUGGCCUAAUCUCAUAUGCCACAACUUGGUGUUAUCUUUGUUGGGUGAGGCAACAGCUGCAGAACCUGUAACAGUUGAACCCUGCAGCACAUACAAACUAUCACAUCGAAUUGCCUUUAGUAACACAAGAGCUCCUUUAGACACUUUUAGAACUCCACCUUCAGCUGAGUAUCUACACCCAUGAGAUUCAAGGGUGCCUAAGGAAAUGAGAUUCCGUUUCAACUCAGGGACAUAUCUGACACCUGUUAAAGUUCUAACAAUUCCAUCAUGUGUCUUGAUUUUGAUUGUUCCUUCACCAACAACUUUGCAUUGAGCAUCGUUUCCCAUCAAAACAAGACCAUUAUAAACUGGUGCAUAUGUGGUAAACCAAUCUCUAUUAUGAGACAUGUGAAAAGUACAACCAGAAUCAAGAAUCCAUUCAUUUUUAGACCUUUGUUCAGUGUUGGAAGCUACAAAACAAUCGCCAUCAGAUUCGGUUUCAACAAUACUAGCUUCAGCAGAUUUUUCUGGUUGUUUACCAUUUCCCUUAUCUUCUCUAUCUUGCUUAUUUUUCAAUUUAUAGCAUUCAGAGAUCUCGUGUCCCUUUUUCUUGCAAUAACAACAAUAUUUGGAGUUCUUGCCUCUAGAUUUUGACCUAGAUUUAUACUUAUUGUUCCUACCGUUCUUUUGGUUUCUCCUUCUAACUACUAAACCUUCACCAGAACUUUCAGAAUGAAAGUGAGUAUCAAAUUUUUCUUUGGCUAGUAAAUUAGUCUUGACAUCAUCAAAGCUUAAGGUAAUAUAAUUACCGUAUAACAUAAUUUCUUUGAAUUGUCAAUGCGAGGGUGGUAGAGAAACAAUAAGCAGAACGACUUUAUCCUCAUCAUCAAUUUUAACAUCCAAAUUUUCCAAAUCAAUUAUGAUGGAAUUAAAUUCAUCAAGGUGAGAUUGGAUGGGAGUACCUACGGACAUUCGAAGUGUAAAAAAUCGCUCCUUUAACCGGAGUUUGUUUGCAAGACUUUUGGUCAUGUAUAGAGACUCCAAUUUACUCCAUAUGUCUGCUGUAGUUUUCUCGUUGAUGACCUCACGCAACACCUCACGGGACAAACAUAACUGGAUUACAGACAAUGCCUUUUCAUCCAUCUCAUCCCACUACUCCUCCGUCAUAGUGGUUGGUCUCAUCAUUUUACCUGCCAGAACUUUCUUUAAACCAUUCUGGGUGAUUUUACCAUCAAAUUUCUCAAUAUCCAAUUUCGACAUUAUUGAACAAUAGAUCAUGGUUGAGUUGUCGAAAAGCUCUGAUGCCAAUUUGUAGGGAUAUCGUGUGCGGAAGCGUAAUAAUUUCAACCAAAGAUUAUAAGAAAUUAAAGUAACAAGUAAAGUGAGAAUGAUACCAUAAUUUUUAGGUGGAAAAUCCCUUUAAAUAGAGGUAAAACACCACCGGCGAAAAAGCCAAAACUUCCACUAUAAUGGUACUGGGAGUACAAUGAAUUCCUUUCAAGCUAAUGAUAAAUAGCCCCAAAACAAAAUUCUCACUAUAUGGGUUAAACACUAACACUUACACCCAAGAGCAGAAAUAGAGAGUAUAAGGAAAAGAGUGAGGAAACAAGUGUGUGUUGUUGUUUGCUGUGUGUUACAUGCUUGAAGGAAACCACUAUAUAUAGUGGUUCUAGGAGACAACAAUAAUAAAUACAAUUAAUGGUAAUUAACCUCUCAUUGAUUGCAAUUGAUUGUGGCAAUUAACCUCCCAUUAAUUGCAAUUGAUUGCGACAAUUAACCUCCCUUUAAUAACAAUUAAUUGUCAACGGUAAGUAACCUCUCAUUUAUGCAUGAUAUAAAUGAAUGACAAAAGUUUGAGUAAAAAGUUUCUUUAUAUAUGUGUUUUAUAUAUGUGGGUCCUGGUUUGAUUAUUGAUAUCUAGGAGAUACUUUCUAAAAUAUCUAACUAGAAUAUUCUGAAGAGUUUCGUAGUUUUUUUUUUAUGAUGAAAGGUGUAUUUUAUAGGUUGUGGAUGUUUUUCUUUUUUACUCUCAGAUCCUAAACAAUACCAUCUAUUCUUUAAGGUUAAGUUUGUAUUAUCCUUAAUAAAUUUCAAAUACGGAGUUAUUCCAUACUCUCUUUCUUCUUCUUAAGACUCUGUUAGUUUUAUUAUAUUUGUAUAUUAAUGAUUAGUAUAUCAUAAGUGAGGUAAUAUGGAAAAUGCUUUCUCUACCAAAUUGUUAUCUUCAACUAACUUUUGACCUAAAUGCAAUUUCAAGGUAUAUGUAUUGUAGUUUAUCCACCUCUGAAAGGUUCUUAAUACAUGUCUUUUGAGACCUGAUGUUGGGUUUCGGUAAUUGAGUCAGCAAAUGGGCUUAAUCCAUUAAAUUGUGCCCAAAUCCUUCAUACAUGGUUUUGAACAUUUUGUUUGGUAUAUUUGGGAUUAACUUUAACUCCUUAUGAUUUAAGAACAGGUUAUUCUAGUAACAUGACAUUUUAUAUAAUACAUGCUAAAAUAUUAUUAUAAAGAUUCAGUGAAAUUUUUGAAGUUUGUGUACACGUUGAAGGCAUUGUCCUGACUAACUAAUGGUUUUAUAUUUGAUGUCUUACAGGAAGCCGAAUUAUUGAACGCGGUGUCGUAAACUCAUUCAACAACGAAAUGGGUUACAGGACUUCAGCAAUUCAACAAUCAUCGUUGGAAGCUAUAGUUGUACCUCAACUUGUGUGGAACUGAAGACUCAUCAAACUAGUUUGAUUAAACAAAACAUUGAAACUUGAUAGAGGCAUGUUAAACCUUUGAGAUGAGGCCAUAAUGUUUUCAAACAGUUAUAGACUGAAGAACCCUUUGGAAAACAAAGUAGCCAUUAGCCAAUAGGGUUGAAGAAAGCUCAAUUUUUGAAAAUCUUUCAUUCAUGCUGAUUGUUGAUUGUGUUUAGGCACUUUUAGAUGAAUUUGAUAGUUGAGUGGUUCCCAUAAGCAGAUCCAAUUUGUAUUUUGAUUAUUUAAAUGCACACCAAUCUUCUUUCACAUAUAUUCAAAUUAAUUUAUGAUGUACCACAUGUUUACCAGGCACAAUGGUUCUUUCUUACAUAGGUAGGCACAUGUUUGGCUUCCUUCAAAUCAACACUCCUUGUUUCUAUUUUUUUUAAUUAAAUAAAUGUGUAAUAACUUACAUAGGGAUCCGUAUGUAAAUAUUUUUAUUUUUAAUUAAAUUUAAAUUACUUUAUAUACAGAUUAUGAUCGAAUAUAAAAAAAUUUAUUUUUUAAUUAAAUUUGUAAUACAGUACAUACGGAUAUCCGUAUGUAUUUUUUUUUUUUAAAAAAAUUAAUAAUACUGGUUCCAAUUUAGUUUUUUUUUAAUUUUAUUUUAUUGAAGUGAAGGUAGACUGAGUGAAGAACUGAAGUGAAGUGACUGGAUUCUAAUUCAAAUUCAAGAUAUUUUUGAUUUUUUAUUGUUUUUUGUUUUUCAAUUAUUUUAUUUUUUAAUUUUAAUGAAAUAACAUGAAUCACAUUUAAUUUUUUAUUUUAUUUAUUAUUAAAAUUCUUUAUUUGGUUAUUUGUAAUUGAAUAUAAUUUAUAUAAUUUAUUAUUAAAAUUUAGAUAAAUAUUUAAUUACUUUAAAUAAUUAAUUGAUUAACUUUUAAAUAAUCAAAAUAAAAUAAAAAAAUUAAAUGAAUUUAUGAUGUAACACACGUUAAGAUCACUUAUAUUUUUUUUCUAUUUUCAAUAUAUUCUUAUUUUUUAUUUUUUCUUUUUCAAUUUUAUUGUUUUUUAAUUUUAGUGAAAUAAAAUAAAAUGCGUUAACUCCUUAUUUCUAUUUUUUUAAUUAAAUAAAUUUGUAAUAGCUUACAUACAUAAGAAUUUCUAAUUUUUUAAUUAAAUUUUAAAUAAUGUACAUACGAAUUAUUUUUAAUUUUUAAGAAAAAUAUGUUACAUACGGAUUAUAUUCUUAUGUAAAAAUUUCUAUUUUUUAAAUUAAAUUAGAAAUACAUUAUAUACGGAUUAUAUUCGUAUGUAACUAUGCGAAUUUUACAUAUGGAUUUUAUCGGUAUGUAAUCAUCUUUGGUUUACAUACAGAAAAAUCCGUAUGUAAAUAUCUGUAUGUAACGUUUACUUUACAAACGGAUAUGGAUCCGUAUGUAAAAAUCUGUAUGUAAUGCUCACUUUGCAUACGGAUCAAGAUUCGUAUGUAAUGUUCAUUUUACAUACGGAUCUGGAUCCGUAUGUAAAUAUCUGUAUGUAACUAGCAAAUUUCUUGUAGUGAUAGUUGACUCCAAGCGUUGAUUCCACCACUUCUUUGGUCUCGGCUUAGGGCACUUCUGGUUCCAUUAAUUAAGGGUUAGUGUGGUUUUGUUCUGCUACAAUUUUGUUUUCUUAGUCUGUUGGAGUGAGAACCAGAAUGAAGUGUAACACUAUAUUCAAAGUCCACUUACUAAUCAUUACCACAUUUUAUAUCUUGCAGGAAGGGAAGCCAUUAGAAAUUCGUUCAAUAAUGAGGGUAACGACGACCAAUAUUUUCACAACACGACAAUCAUAAUUCCUGUAAGAAUUUAAAGUUUCAUUUUUGUGAACAUGGCAAACUUUUUUAUAAAAGCCAAGGAAAAAACUUUAUAAUUGUUAUCAACUUUCUGCACAGUGAACAAUUUUCCAACAUUUUGAGUUUAUUAUUGUUGUUUGGUGGGGUGGUGCAUGAGAUCUCUAUGUGAAGUGACCCCAGUGGAGGACACCAAGGUGAAUUUCUCUAAUGUCAUUGUUAUCGGUGUACAAUUAUCACAAUAGACUAGUUGAACUUGUAGUUGUGUACAAUAUUUAUAAUUUAUGUUUUAGGUUGGACAAUUUUAUUAGUUAAUGGGUCUGUGUUACAUUGUUUAAAAUGUUUAAAGUAAUCAAUUUCAUUUUUCAUGUGAUAAAUAAAUUUCACAUGUGAUAAACAAACUAAAUUCACCUUAUUCAUCAUUCUCUCUGACUAUUGUGCAAAAACAUACACCAGGUCACGACAUCCUAAACCAUUUUUGUGAAUGACCAACACAUUAACCUCUACCAUACUUUAGUUCAAUUGGUCACUACUUCAAUAAAUAAAAUCAUUCAUACUAAAACUAAUCACAAUCUGCAUUUAAGCAUAUAAAAAAACAUAUUGAAUCAAAUUAUAGUAAUAUUGUCAAGAAAGUCCAAUUCAAAAGUAUGCUUACGAUAAAUAUUUAUUUUAUUUAAUAAUAUAUUUAACUAGGCUAAUUUAAGAUUGUAAGAAGAUGAAGAUAGAUAAAUAACACUUGCUAAAUUGAAAUAAUAUUAUUAUAAUUAUUAAUAAUCUUAACAUUAAUAAUAAUAAUUUUAAUAAUAAUAUGAAUAAUAAUAAGAAACCAAAACAAAACACAAACUUAGAAGAAAAACAAACCUUCUACUCUACAAGAAUAAAUUUUGUAAUUAUUAAAAAAAUAUUAAAAAAUAAAAACUAAUAAAAAUAAAAAGUGCAAGCAAAGAAUUAGAAAGAAAUUCAAAAACAAGUUAGGUCUUAAAUAUUAAUAUAUUUUUCCACCAAUUGUGUACCGACCAAUGUGUCCCGGCCCAUCUAGAAUGUGGUUCUCCAUAUAUCAGUAUCCUAUUUUGCAUUGUCUUCUUUCACUUAGGCAUUGACCUAGUCCAUUUUAAUAUAUUAACACCCUCAAUAGUAAAAACACACACUUUACAUCAUAAUAAAUUAAUAUUUUAUUUAUUUUAUUUUUAAUCUAAAAGUAUUAUUAUAUUAUUAUAAAUAGUGUCAAAUGUAUGUUUUUUUUACUGAUAGUGUCAACAAUACUUUUCUCUUUAUAGUAUAUUGGUUUUUAGCAUUAGAAUAUUCUGUAUUUGUCUCUCCUAUUUAAGUACAUGAAAGAAGACUUAGAAAGUAUGAAUCUGAGAAUGGCGUUCCUUUUUCUAUCAAAAAAGCUCUCUUCUUCUGUGAACUUUUCAGUUUUUGACAUAUGUCAAACCAGCGGAUGUAAAGUGAUGAAUUCAUUCAACAAUCAGGGCAAUGGCACUCAGGACUUCACUAAUGCCAAAAUCAUACUUACUGGAGGCUGCUGCUGUUGCUGUACCUCGUUUGAUUUGCAUGGUAUCAUUAAACUAAACAAAUACUCUAUUGUUUUCUAUUUCUUUGUUAGUUUGUUUAUUUUUUUUAAUUUCUUUUCUGUUUUUGGUCUUUCUCAGGUACUGGUUCUCCCAAUCAGACGUCGACGAAUUCCCCUUCAUUUCUAAAUCACCAUUCGCCAACAACAUUUUUAGAUUCUCCAUAGCCACUUUCCACUGUUGACGACACAGACAUUAAUGGAAGCUUCUUCCACCACCGGAUCCAAUUCCGGUGACGCCUUUGUAUCUUCUCCUUUUGGGUAUCAACUAUUUUUCCAAGCAGAUUUGUGCCUUAUUUUGUGUUCAGCACCAGGUCUCAAGUAUGUAUGAUGAAACAGAAUCUUCGUAUGUUCUCAUGAGCUGGUGCUGUAAUUCACAAGGAUUCUUAUGUUGAAGCUAUGCGCAGGAUAUAAACAAUUUAAGGAUAAAAGUUAAAGAGAAAUAAACCAAGUUUUCUUAGGUCUGAAUACAGGAGGAAGCGUGAAAGAUAACUUCUCACCCAAAUUUUACUAGAAUUGUUACCUCUAAUAAACUAUUGACUAUGAUUCAAUGCUUCACAUGUAUACUGAGGUUGCCCAAGUUCUUCAUAGGGUCCAAAACAAUAUAUUUGAAGUUUUUGGGAACUUUGUUCUGUCUCCUUUGCAUUUGAUUUAUCUUCCUUGAGUAUGCAUAUCUAUAUGUUGUUUUCUUAGGCAUAGGACCUUCAGAGUAACAAGAGAAUAGAUAAAUGAGAUCUUGAAUUCUCAGGACAAAAUGCGUGUUACAGGGCAAUAUGAAUUAGCUUUUUUGGUUUCUAAAUUAUCUUGGGAUUGGGGUUUCAGUAACCAACCAUGAGAUAUGAUACACUGAUACUUCAAUCUGUUUCGAAUACAAUACCUAUCAUUGAAGUAUCUAAUCUAUGAAGUAAUAAUAUAUCACUUAUGGUAUCCGCUUAUUUUCAUAAUAAGCGUACCAUAUUCAAUACACAGUAUCCAUGCAUCAUAUAGCAUGAGUUAAUAGCCAAAGUAAUGGCAAAAUAUCACAUGUUCAUCAUGCAAUAUGGUUUAAUAGGAAAUUUAAUGCAACAGAACUCAUUCCGUUGUUGACAAAGAAUAGUAAUUUAAUGUGUUUGACAUGGUGUUGCAGGUUCUUUAGGAUUUGGCCUCUUAAGUUCUAGGUUCUCGUUCUCGACAGGAUUUCUAAUUAUGAAUUGGAUUGCACUCUCCUCAGACUCUGUGGAGCUUUUAUGUGCCAAUUAAAGUUUGAUCCACAAGUAACUAUGAAUUCAGUUCUUAAUGCUAAUUACAUCAAGUAAUUUUACCUGUAAGUGCUUUCUUUCACUUUAGAAUCUUUAAUCUCUUAUCUCAGACAUAACUGAUUGGAACCUUGGCCUUGUGAACUCAAUAAAGUUAUCUUUCUUGUGAGACUAUUUUAGUGCACCAGAAUCGUAACCAAGUAGCUAGAGGGCCUACAGUCCUUAUGUAUGGGCUAGACCCUUGUUCUUAAACUAGUUAUGUAUGUCACUUAUUUAUUGUCUGUUUUAAUAUAUACUUGAAAACCAGUUAUGUAUUUCGGCAUUAUGCUUGAGUGGUUUGGGAAGUGAUAUGGUUGUUUCCUUAUGAUUUUUUCUCCCAUUCCCGUGGUAAUGGUCAAGAUAGUUCUGUUUUCCCCUGUAUUUGCUGUUUUCCCCUGUAUUUUUAAGUAUUGUGAAUUUCGACAAGGGAAAACAAAACUGUCUCGUGGCAGCUGAAUCUAAAAAUUGAAUUUUGCUUUAAAUAAAAUUUAUUCUUAAAUACUUCGUGAUGCAAAAAAUGAAUGGACUUAGUUUCUAGAUGUGUUCACUUUUAACAUCAAAAUAUUCACAGAUAGCUUUGAGAUCUAUUUUUUCCUAAUUUGAUACUUUAUCUCACCUGAUAUUGUUACUCUAAAUGGUUAAAAUUUGAUAAAUUGGUAACAUAUUUUAAAAAUGUUUUUAGUGAUUGUUCCAACAAAUAAAUGUGAGGGCCUUCAUUCAUUUUUAUUUUUUCUUUUGGUUUUGAAACUCGUACAUAUGACUUUUUUUUACUUUGUAAUUCCUUUGCUAAAGGUUUAAGAUCCUGAUAUUUUUUUCUAUAUUAUUUUCCACGUCUAUCGAUUUAUUUUUUCUAUUAUUUUGUUGAUUUUAUUAAUUUUAUCUUAAUUUAAUGAUAUAGGAUGAUGAUUUCUUGAAUUAGGGUUUAUUGAUUUACUUUUAAAUUUGUUUCCAUAUUAUUAUUUAACAUAUUUAUCACAACUUGAUUAUGAUAGAACUUAAUCCACCAAAUAUUUUCAUUCUGUAAUACACUGUCAUGAUAGAUUGGAUUCCUACUUAUCAGUACAAAGUCUUCUAGUCUUAAACCAUAAGAUUAUUAGGAUUGAUCAGAACUUUAAUACAAUAAUAUAAAAAAAUAUCAUUUUGAGCAUUUUUGAAUUCCCUCUAUAUGUUCAUGUAUUUUCUGCAUCAAGUACUCCCUUACUAAUUGUUUUAUAUUUUAAAUUUGAUGUUUCAGGAAGCCAAAGUAUUGGACCAAGUGCCAUAACAUACUCAUUCAACAACGAGAGUGAAGGUAAACAAGACUUCUCCAAUGCAACAAUCAAAAUUGAAAGGUGUAGUUGUGCCUCAACUAGUAGAGUCAGAGUCGGUGUGAUAGCAGGCUCAUUCAACAACAAGGGCAAUGGCAUCCAGAACUUUAGCAAUGCCACAAUCAUAAUCAUCGGCAACUGUUGUGGCUCACUUGGUUUGCAUGGUAUCAUAUUUUACUGCUUCUUCCUUAGAGUUCUUGUUGCACUACUGCUUAUCCCAACUAGAGAUCAACAUCUCCAUCUAAGAAUACUGGAUUCAACUCGAUCAAGGUCGAGGUCAAUUCUCCUUCAAGGGGGCACUCCACUCGCCAAUAACAUUCAUUUAUGAUUCUCUAUAAUCUUCUCACCUACCAUGUCUAUGUCUUCUACCACCAGAUCCAAUUUCGCCACAGCUUUGUAUGUUCCUCUUUCACUCACUCUGUUCAUUUUUAUUAAAUUUUUCUAUUUAAAAUAUAUAUGAACAUGCAUGUUCUUGUUUUUGUGCUCAACAAAUAUUCCAACAGAAUCUUCACGUAUUAAAGAUCUACAUUAAAGAUCUACAUUGAGGAAUAUAAAAAGGAAGAAAAGUAUUAAACUAAGAAUGAAGAAUUGAUGAAAAUUUAUUCUUAUAUAAAUUACAUUAGAAAGUUUGCAACAGUUUUAUCCUGAUAAAUAUUACUUUAGAGUAACAAAAUAUUUCUCUUAAUUAUUGUCAAUGACCGGAGGUAACUAAACUAAAAGUGUGCUUUUAUCUUAUUGUAUGAUUCUCAACCUUUGUGAGAAUUCCAACUUUAUGUCAAUUUAUACAUGAUAUAAAAUGAAGGACAAAAUUCCCAACAUUUGUGAGGAUUCCAACUUUAUGUCAAUUUAUGCAUGAUAUAAAUGAAUGACCGAAGUUGGAGUAAAAAGUUUCAUUAUAUAUGUGGGUUCUGGUUUGAUUAUUGAUAUCUAGAAGAUACUUUCUAAAAUAUCUAACUAGGAAUAUUCAGAAGAGUUUAGUAGUUUUGCUUUAUGAUGAAAAGUGUAUUUUAUGGGUUAUGGAUAUUUUUCUUUUUUACUCUCAGAUCCUAAACAAUACCAUAUAUUCUUU